rnacentral:rRNA from 1 species
GAUGAACGCUGGCGGCGUGCUUAACACAUGCAAGUCGAACGAGAAGUGAAGACGGAAACCUUCGGGCGGAAGGCUUUAUUUCGAGUGGCGGACGGGUGAGUAACGCGUGGGUAACCUGCCUCAUACAGGGGGAUAACAGUUGGAAACGACUGUUAAUACCGCAUAAGACCACAGCACCGCAUGGUGCGGGGGUAAAAACUCCGGUGGUAUGAGAUGGACCCGCGUUCGAUUAGCCAGUUGGCGGGGUAACGGCCCACCAAAGCGACGAUCGAUAGCCGAUCUGAGAGGAUGACCGGCCACAUUGGGACUGAGACACGGCCCAGACUCCUACGGGAGGCAGCAGUGGGGAAUAUUGCACAAUGGGGGAAACCCUGAUGCAGCGACGCCGCGUGAGUGAAGAAGUAUUUCGGUAUGUAAAGCUCUAUCAGCAGGGAAGAAAAUGACGGUACCUGAGGAAGAAGCCCCGGCUAACUACGUG